rnacentral:lncRNA from 1 species
CUCGUACACUCCUGUUUGAAAUUGGACAAUGUUUUGUUACUUGUUUUUACUGAUGAAAUUAGUUGUUAUGUUAAAAUAGAUAAUUAUUCACUUUCAGCGAUGUGUUAUUGUUGACCAUUCGAGAAUCUUUUUUUGCGAACCCGUCUUCAGCUGAAUGUGUGAUUACUGUAUCGUAUUACUACACGGGCCGCAACGGAUUUCAAAUCGAA